UACGAAGGGGGCUAGCGUUGCUCGGAUUUACUGGGCGUAAAGGGCGCGUAGGCGGAUGUUUAAGUCGGGGGUGAAAGCCCGGGGCUCAACCUCGGAAUUGCCUUCGAUACUGGACAUCUUGAGUAUGGGAGAGGUGUGUGGAACUCCGAGUGUAGAGGUGAAAUUCGUAGAUAUUCGGAAGAACACCAGUGGCGAAGGCGACACACUGGCCCAUUACUGACGCUGAGGCUCGAAAGCGUGGGGAGCAAACAGG
rnacentral:rRNA from 1 species